UCCGGGCUCGUCUAAUGGUAGGACACCACCCUUUGGAGGUGGCUAUCGGGGUUCGAAUCCCUGGCCCGGAG
rnacentral:tRNA from 1 species